rfam:Arabis alpina cultivar Pajares Aa.chr4_contig_111, whole genome shotgun sequence.
ACUCCAUGGUGAGGACAAGAUCUAGUGUAUCCUUUCAAUCUUUCCCAAGCCUCAUAGAGAGCUUCAUUAGGACCCUGCUUGAAGCUUAUGAUGUCGUUUCUAAUGUGU